GGCUAAAAUGGGGAAAAUACCAAGUGGUGGACGAAAUGGUAAAAAUAGCCAUUUUCGCAUACGAGUGUUGACAAGCCAGCUCGGAAAUCGGAAACGGUCGGAGGCACGCUCACACUAUCCGUAUACCAUCUUGGCAUAAUGGCUUGUAUAUUUUGAGUAUGGCAUGUAUAGCAUUAUAAUCAUUUUAUAUAUAUGGUCUUAUGAUAUGGUUA